rnacentral:lncRNA from 1 species
ACGUGCAUGGUGGAUGUGGAAGGCUUUGAUGAUGUUGGUGAAGCUCUCUCUGACGCCGUCAGAGAUGGAUUGGGGACACUCCUGCGGGAAGGUGCUGAGGGGGGGAGCUGCGACAACCGGCCCCACACCAGAAAAAGCCGGGGGCCGCUGAGCCCAGGCCACCAACAGGAGCUGUGGACCCAGCCUGACCCCUGGACCGAGGUGCUUUCAGGGCACAAGGGGGAUGCGGGAGCCUGUGGCUGCUGUCGCUUCUGCCCUCAGUUCAUAAACACACGCUGUGCACAUCCCCUGUGCUUGGCAAGGGGCCUGGAUGGAAGGGCCAGUGAGGAGACGCCCAUCCUCCAGGCACUGUGCCUCCUCCCAAAGGCCAGCACCCCGAGCAUCACUGUACCCUCCCCACAGAGGUCAGCACCCCGAGCAUCACUGUACCUCCCCACAAAGGUCAGCACCCC